GAUGAACGCUAGCGGCAGGCUUAACACAUGCAAGUCGAGGGGUAUAGUUCUUCGGAACUAGAGACCGGCGCACGGGUGCGUAACGCGUAUGCAAUCUACCUUUCACAAAGGGAUAGCCCAGAGAAAUUUGGAUUAAUACCUUAUAGUAAUACGACUUGGCAUCAAGAUGUAUUUAAAGAUUUAUCGGUGAAAGAUGAGCAUGCGUCCAUUAGCUUGUUGGUAAGGUAACGGCUUACCAAGGCAACGAUGGGUAGGGGUCCUGAGAGGGAGAUCCCCCACACUGGUACUGAGACACGGACCAGACUCCUACGGGAGGCAGCAGUGAGGAAUAUUGGACAAUGGGCGCAAGCCUGAUCCAGCCAUGCCGCGUCGCA
rnacentral:rRNA from 1 species